rnacentral:rRNA from 1 species
GAAAGGCCAUCGCUCAACAAAUAAAAGGUACUCCGGGGAUAACAGGCUGAUACCGCCCAAGAGUUCAUAUCGACGGCGGUGUUUGGCACCUCGAUGUCGGCUCAUCACAUCCUGGGGCUGAAGCAGGUCCCAAGGGUAUGGCUGUUCGCCAUUUAAAGUGGUACGCGAGCUGGGUUUAGAACGUCGUGAGACAGUUCGGUCCCUAUCUGCCGUGGGCGUAGGAAGAUUGAGGAGAUCUACUUCUAGUACGAGAGGACCGAGGUGGACGCAUCACUGGUGUUCGGGUUGUCAUGCCAAUGGCAUUGCCCGGUAGCUAAAUGCGGAAAAGAUAAGCGCUGAAAGCAUAUAAGCACGAAACUUACUCCAAGAUUAGUCUUCCCUGAAACAUGUUAAUGUUUACUGAAGGGACGUUGAAGACUACGACGUUGAUAGGCUAGAUGUGUAAGUGUAGUAAUACGUUGAGCUAACUAGUACUAAUGACCCGAGA